UGCUCGAAAGAGAGCCGUAACACAGGUGCUGCAUGGCUGUCGUCAGCUCGUGUCGUGUAGGAUGUUGGGUUAAGUCCCGCAACCGAGCGCAACCCUUGUCAUUAGUUGCUACAUUCAGUUGGGCACUCUAAUGAGACUGCCGGUGACAAGCCGGAGGAAGUGGGGAUGACGUCAAGUCCUCAUGGCCCUUAUAGGUGGGGCUACACACGUCAUACAAUGGCUGGUACAAAGGGUUGCCAACCCGCGAGGGGGAGCCAAUCCCAUAAAGCCAGUCGUAGUCCGGAUCGUAGUCUGCAACUCGACUACGUGAAGUCGGAAUCGCUAGUAAUCGUGGAUCAGAAUGUCACGGUGAAUACGUUCCCGGGUCUU
rnacentral:rRNA from 1 species